CGUAGGGCGCAAGCGUUGUCCGGAAUUAUUGGGCGUAAAAGAGCUUGUAGGUGGCUUUGUCGCGUCUGCCGUAGAAAACCCCGAGGCUCAACCUCGGGCGUGCGGUGGGUACGGGCAGGCUAGAGUGUGGUAGGGAGACUGGAACGUCCGUGGUGUAGCGGUGAAAUGCGCAGAUAUCAGGAGACACCGAUGGCGAAGGCAGGUCUCUGGGCCAUUACUGACACUGAGAAGCGAAAGCAUGGGGAGCGGAACAGGAUU
rnacentral:rRNA from 1 species